UAUUUCCUACGAUCAAGUUUCUCUUCUCUUCUUCCUCUCGUUUUCUUCGCCACGCACGCCGCGAGGAAAUCAUAGUGAUUUAGUGGCGCGGCUAAUGAGUCACCGUAAUCGUCGCGAUGUCAAUAUUUUGUGCGCGAGUGUGGGAUAUUCGAAGGAUCAACGAGGAACGCGGCAAACAAACGGCAGCUUCGAACGGCGUCGAGGGAUGUUGUUCCUCCCAUUUUAAUAAAGGCCGCAAUAUAGCCGCGAAGAAACAUCUCGCGUUCUAGCUGAAUCACUUUCAACCCGGACCGUUUUUAUUAGACGAACGAACUCUGGACUGGAGUACGAAGGAUAUUCGACCAAGAGAUGCUUGAGUGUGAGUAGUGGGGGGGACCUAUGUGCAUGGGGCGUUCACCUCUACAUCGUCAGUUUCCACGCGACCGUCGCGAAGACAGGUGGGAGAUCUGUGGAGCCUAUAGAGGGAGAAACCAAAACAUCGCCAUCUUCUCUGGAUUCGUCGCGGGUCGCAAGGGCAAGGGAUGGAAAUCAGGGAUGCCUGACUGGGAUGCCUGACUUAAUCGCGAGUGUACUACUCGCCAGUGUCUGACCAUACAAAGCGUCUACCACUGCGACGCUGCGCCCGUGAUAUACGAGGAGAAUCCAGUAUGCUCUGCGCGGAUUAAACGAGCUGGAUCGGUCGGCGUCGUCAAUGGACUUCGUUUCGAGGGUCCUUUCAUUAUCCCAGGAACACGGGCCUGGCCUCCGUCGAAGUUGUUCGCGCUGGCAAAGGGAAGAGGACAGAGGCGAGGCUUGGCGAGGAAGGGGGUGUGUAAGAGCGUGCGAGGAAAGAAACGAACGCCGAGGGAUGAAAAGGGGGAAGAGAGGUAACCGGUGGAUGAGACGUUCCCAGGCGAAGAAAAGGUCGUUCCAGACGGAGAGGGAAGAGCCGUGUCGUGAGGUGAAAGAAUAGAAACUAAAAUAGUCUUCUCAACGGCAAACGGAGAAAAACUCAUUCCGCCUGCUCGCCCGCAGCCCGGAGCUGCUCCAUUGUGAGACGACCAAGUAUUGUGUAGUUCGUAGUAACCGUGGGCCACUGUCGUUCUCCCUGGUCCGUCCUUCUCCCUCGCCAACCUUUCCUUUCUUUCUUUUAACGUACUUGUUUCUUCCCUCCGUCGUUCUUUCCUGGAAUUUCCCUGACUUUCCACGUCACGGAUGUUUCGUUCUCAUCAUCGCCGUGACAGUUUUCAGAAAUCGUUGACGGCUAAGGUGAAAUAACUCGGUGACGCGAUUGAAAGAACUUAUCAUUCAGGAACGUAGAAAAUGAAAAAUAGAAAAAAUACUUGCAUUUAAAUUUGAAGCUUAAUUUCUUUAAUGUAUUUUCAUUUCUUUUUUUUCUUUCCCGAGAAAUAGUUUCGGGAAAUUGUUCGACGAUUCAGUCGACUGACAAGGUAGUGGAUGCCGAACAUUAAAAUCGGUGGGAAGAAAACGCGGUAUAGCGAGAACGGUGUUCAAAGGAGAGUUCAGGCUUGGUGGAAGAAAGGAGUUUCGAGCGGAGCCGCAAUAUUUGGGAUAUGAGUUCGGUUUCUUUUUUAGUUUCUGUUCUGCUCCGGGAUUUUUACCUCUUUUCGUAUCGCCGUGCGGCUCAAUGCACCCCGCGACGCUCCAGUUCUGCGUUAUUAAAUCGAAUUUCCGUGGAAAAGUCAAAAGAUGAAGGAAGAAAGCGUCGCGUCGUGCAAGCUUGCGCUAAGUUUUUCGUAACGAGAUAUUUCAUUCCUUGAAAAUUUCUUGUUCAAAAGUUUGUAGCUGGUUUUAAUCCGAGAUCAGUAAAUGCAAUGUUUAAUAGACCUCGCAAAAAUAGAAAAAUAGAAAAAUAGGAAAAUUGACUAUGCAAAACAUUUAAGUAAUAACUUUUUUCUUUUAUUUAUUACACCUAGUAUCCAAAAAUAUUUUUAGCAUAUUUGUUUUCGAAUUCAAUAGUUUCAAGAAACGUGUCGGAGAUGAUUUUCAACGAAAAGUCGAAAUUCUCCGAAUACCGUUUUCUCAUUUCCUCAUCUACUUCUUGCAGUCACUCAUCCUCUGCUUGGCCACCGUCGCAACACCCUCGAUCGUCCUGAAACGCUCUUAGCUCGAAGCAGGGAGGAAGUUUUUUUUAGAAUCCCGCCGGGAAAUUAAAAGUACUCCGGGUCGAUGACAGUCCUCCUUUCGUUAAUGUAAGGUCUAGCUUUAUUGGAAUAUUUCAUUAACAAUGGAACUUUUACAAGAUCGAAGCGAGUUGCUCGAGGAAACGAAGCUCGGCUAUUGGUUCAUAGUUCAUCGAUAGCCGCCGGGUAAAUAGAGGCGGAUAAUUGGUAUCGAUUAAUUAUUUACACCCAACGAUUUCUACCUGGGACCCAGACCAUUAUUAAUUAAUUGGUUAAUUGGUGGUCAUGGUAAUGUUCCCUAUCAAUUUUUCAGCUCCUAUUAAUUUGAAUAAAGAAACAAAUAUUUAGCAUCCUUGCUGCUCUACUUUAGUUUAAUAAAAAUAUUUCUUUCACUAUUUUACUAUUUUUCUAUUUUUCUACCCCUCUUGCAAUGAUAAAAAUUAGAACACCCAUAUUUUGUAAGCUGAUUUUUUAUUAUAAUUUAUUUUGUUUAACUCUCGUAUAAUGGAUGGAAAUUCGAUGUAACGAAAACGCUAUUUUCAACUAAUAUUAUUCGUGUAAAUUGCAGUUUUCAUGGCAAAAUACACGUUGCACCGACAGAAUCCGUAUAAUUUGAAUUCAUAAGCUUCAGACCUCGAUACUACAUCCAUAAAUGUUUUAAAACCCUGUUUUGUCAUUGGGAUUAGCACAUAAAUGAGCUUCAUGAUUGUACAAUGCCUGGUCUAAUAGCAUAAGAGCCUCCCCGUCAUUAAUGGGGUGCCACCGCGUCUCCCAUCGCAAGCGCCAUGUCGAACUAUGCAUCACAUCCGACCUACAAUCCAUAACAUCUCAAAUUUCAUAAAUGAAAUGUAUAUCAUUUGAAUUAAUUACACGUGUCACUCUUUGGUUAAUAUCAUCAGUUAAAUAAACCUUAAUAAAUAUAAGGGUCAUUAUAAUUAAAGCCGAUAUAAUUAAGCCUUUCGACCACUUUUUAAAGCAGAAUAACAUUUUUAAAAUUGGGACAGACACUUUUUUUUUAAUGAAAAAUUAUUUCGCCUAGUAUAUUAGCUGAAGUCGUCAUUAAUAUAUCUGACAAAUUUUCCCGCAAAAAUAAAUGUUUAUGCAAAAACAAGAUUAUCGUGUUAACAUCUACGUAGAGAGAAUAUCGAGGCGCGGGAAUGAGAUCAGAUCGAACGAUCGAAAUUUCGUUCGACGCUUCGAUACAUAAGCGUAAUAUAUUUCAGCUGCUCUAUAGGCAGGAUUCCGAAAAUUGUGGACAUUCGUUUCAGCGGCGCGACGUAUCUGCUUAAUCGCUAGUUUUAAAGAUUUAUCGAUGGAACGGCCGAUCCGUUUCGCUAUCCGAAAUCAUUUUUCGAUUGAUUAUCGCUGUCUGCCUUUUUCCCCGAUCUUUCUCUCUCGGCUCGAACGUCGACGAAAAAUGUUUCGUGACCGUUCGUCGCCUGACCAACCUCAUAUCUACCAUCUCGUUAUAGAAAAAAAAAACCGUGGAAUUUUCAACGCUCGAAUAAAACUGACUAAAAAAUAUCACAGAAAAUCCCUGCUUCCUAGAUUUUUCUGUAGAAAGAUUUUCCUGGUUAUCGUACUUUUGUUAGAUCAGUUUUUGAUAGAACAAUUGUAUAAAUUAAGAGUAAAUUAAUAUGUAUCAAACAAAAUAAGGUAUUUCUUGGAAUAAAUUUUUAAAAUAGUCGGUAUUGAUUUAAAACAUGAUUUAUUUUCCAUGAAUACAGAAAGACAUAAAUUCGACACGAAUAAUCACAUAAGAGAGGGUUAUUCGUUCACGCAAAUUUAUACAUGAUUGAUCACCGUCGGAAUCGUAAUUUUUCUGCCAAUAGCGAACGUGAUUAUCGAAAGAAACGUAGAUUGCGAUAGAUCGUAACUAUUUCGCGGUUGUGGUCUCCGUCACAUCGCGAUGAGAUUCUACAGCGUUCAUCCGACACUUCUGAAACAACCUAUUUUGUUUAUCGACGAUGGAUGGUCCGAC